AUCCUCCCGUGCUGAUCGCAGAUGCAAACUGGAAAGUGGCCUUUGAUUUACCUGUAAAUCUCCUGAAAAGACCAUCUGCAGAAAACAUUCAAGCAAGCGAUCUUUCAGUGAACAUUACAGACCAAUGGGAACAACUCGAAAAACAGCUCAUUGCUGCCGGGUUCUGUGAUGGUACA